GAACCAGCCAGGACUGAAAGCAAUUCCAAGGCCAGCGUGUCAGACCUACCAGUGGAGUUGUGUUUCCCUGCACAGCUCAGGCAGCAAACUGAAGAGCUCUGUGCUACCAUUGAUAAGGUCUUGCAGGACUCCUUGUCUAUGCAUUCUUCUGAUUCUCCUUCACGGCCCUCACAGACAAUGUUGGGUUCUGAAACAAUCAAAACUCCUACAACUCAUCCAAGAGCAGCCGGUCGAGAAACCAAAUAUGCAAAUCUUUCGUCAUCAUCCUCUACAACAUCUGAGAGUCAACUGACUAAGCCUGGAGUAAUUCGUCCAGUACCUAUAAAAUCCAAACUAUUUCUGAAAAAGGAGGAAGAAGUUUAUGAACCCAAUCCUUUCAGUAAAUACCUUGAAGACAGCAGCGGUCUGUUUUCUGAGCAG
rnacentral:lncRNA from 1 species